ACAGACUCUACUAAACUUGAAAUGAACCAGGAGUGGACAAGGAAAUCCACAUAAGAAACCUUAGUGAAUUGAAAUCACGAUGAGAGAUCAAAGACUAAUGACUGAAACUCGAAAACCGAAUCCAAAAUUCAAUGGAAUAGUAACUCAGUGUGUAGGUCCUUAUUCUCAAUAUAUUAUUAGCCUCAAAACUAUCACAAAUACCUUCUGAAAAUCAGUUUAAAACUGAUCUGAAAAGAACUAUCACUCAAACUUCCACACUCUUGAAAAGAAAAACUGUUUUAAAACUCUAAAAAAUAUCUCCAAAUUUCUUAAUAGAUUCCCCCUUUUAUUCCUUCAAUGAUUGUCCUCCUUUUUAUUGUCGAAAUGAAUCCUUAUAUAACUCAAGCCAAGACUCUCUUCCAUCCCCCUUUAAUUAUCAUUACUACCCUUUUCCAAUUACCCACGGAUUUUAGGCCUUAAAGGAUAGUCAAAAC
rnacentral:lncRNA from 1 species